rnacentral:lncRNA from 1 species
UCCUCACUCUAAAGCUAGCCAAUGUGUGAGUUCCUAGUUACAGGUCCCGGGGUCAUGCAUUUAACAAGGGUGAGAGAGAUUAUGUAUAAAGUAAAAGGGUAUGAGUGUGUGUGGUGUUGUAUGGGGCUCUAAAAUCCCUCCUUUAUUCUACUUAAUAUAAUGAUACGCAGCUCUCCUGCGUGUUUGAGGAAAAAAAAGUUCAAGUUUUGUGAGAUGCUAAAAGUCAUGAUCUCCAAUGUUAGAAAAAUACUUUAAAAAAAUACUUUAAUGCAUCAGAAAAUUUCAUAUAUGAAGUCACUAAAGAAUUUUUGUAUUCAAACAUUAAAAUUAUAACUUAUUUUUUAUAUAAUGU